UGCCUGUGAUGAGUAAAAUGAAUAAGAGUAGUGGACAGAAGUGAUUUCUGAAAACUUAACUUAAAUCUGAGGCA